GACGAACGCUGGCGGCGUGCUUAACACAUGCAAGUCGAACGGUAAGGCCCUUCGGGGUACACGAGUGGCGAACGGGUGAGUAACACGUGGGUGAUCUGCCCUGCACUUCGGGAUAAGCCUGGGAAACUGGGUCUAAUACCGGAUAGGACUCCUGGCUUCAUGGUUGGGGGUGGAAAGCUUUUGCGGUGUGGGAUGGGCCCGCGGCCUAUCAGCUUGUUGGUGGGGUAAUGGCCUACCAAGGCGACGACGGGUAGCCGGCCUGAGAGGGUGACCGGUCACUGGGACUGAGAUACGGCCCAGACUCCUACGGGAGGCAGCAGUGGGGAAUAUUGCACAAUGGGCGCAAGCCUGAUGCAGCGACGCCGCGUGAGGGAUGACGGCCUUCGGGUUGUAAACCUCUUUCAGCUAUGACGAAGCGCAAGUGACGGUAGUAGCAGAAGAAGGACCGGCCAACUACGUGCCAGCCGCCGCGGUAA
rnacentral:rRNA from 1 species